rnacentral:rRNA from 1 species
AGGGUUUGAUUCUGGCUCAGGAUGAACGCUAGCUACAGGCUUAACACAUGCAAGUCGAGGGGCAGCAGGAUCUAGCAAUAGAUUGCUGGCGACCGGCGCACGGGUGAGUAACACGUAUCCAACCUGCCGAUAACUCGGGGAUAGCCUUUCGAAAGAAAGAUUAAUACCCGAUGGUAUAAUCAGACCGCAUGGUUUGAUUAUUAAAGAAUUUCGGUUAUCGAUGGGGAUGCGUUCCAUUAGGCAGUUGGUGAGGUAACGGCUCACCAAACCUUCGAUGGAUAGGGGUUCUGAGAGGAAGGUCCCCCACAUUGGAACUGAGACACGGUCCAA